GAUGAAGAACGUAGCGAAAUGCGAUAAGUAAUGUGAAUUGCAGAAUUCAGUGAAUCAUCGAAUCUUUGAACGCACAUUGCGCCCGGCAGCAAUCUGCCGGGCAUGCCUGUCCGAGCGUCAUUUCUUCCCUCGAGCGCGGCUAGCCCUACGGGGCCUGCCGUCGCCCGGUGUUGGGGCUCUACGGGUGGGGCUCGUCCCCCCCGCAGUCCCCGAAAUGUAGUGGCGGUCCAGCCGCGGCGCCCCCUGCGUAGUAGAUCCUACAUCUCGCAUCGGGUCCCGGCGAAGGCCAGCCGUCGAACCUUUUAUUUCAUGGUUUGACCUCGGAUCAGGUAGGGUUACCCGCUGAACUUAAGCAUAUCAAUAGCGGAGGA
rnacentral:misc_RNA from 1 species